rnacentral:tRNA from 1 species
CCGAGAGUAGUUUUAAGAAGAACACUGGCUUUGGGAGCCAGCGGCGGGGGUUUGAUCCCCCUCUCUUGGA